AGAGAGAUAGGCGUUCUGAGGAGUUACACCAUGGAGAGCACCUACAACGGCUGUGAUCAGGGCAUACACAAGGGGCUGCAGACAGGGAGCAGGGAGCUGCAGGAGAUGGGGAUGAAGUUCUGUCAGAGUCUGCUGUCCGUCACUAAAGACUCUCGAGCUCUUACAACAAGAAACUGAUCCAUCACAUCGACCUGGACGACAACGUCCUCGACCACAAGUCGCACAACUGCUUCGAGGACGACGAGCCCCCGUGUGUGGAGGAGAUCGAGUUCUCCGCAGACUGUCCGCCUCUACACGGCGAUGAUCUGGAUUCAGAUGUUGACAGAAACAUGGCGGGCGCUGAGGAAGACGAGGAGGAUGAAGACUUCCUGUUCCCCAGUCGGACCUGACAGUCAUCCACGUGUAACGGCACCGCCAGCGGUCAGAUCCUCAGCUAAACCACCAAGACCAAGAACCCUGACCCUAACCUUAACAGGUCCUCAGACUGGGACCUGGUCCUGACCUUAACCCUAACAGGUCCUCAGCUAAACCACCAAGAUCCAAAAGUCUCCAUAAGGACUGAAAGGACCCGAACCCUAACAGGUCCUCAGCUAAACCACCAAGAUCCAAAAGUCUACAUAAGGACUGAAAGGACCCGAACCCUAACAGGUCCUCAGACUGGGACCUGGUCCUGACCCUAGCUAACAGGUCAUCAGACUGGGACCUGGUCCUGACCCUAGCUAACAGGUCAUCAGACUGGGACCUGGUCCUGAUCCUGGUCUUCCUGGUCCUGAACGCUCUCACGCUGUGGACUGAUGCUUUAAUUUCCUCUUUUCUGUGUUUGCUGUGAGAAUAAAAGUGAUUUAUUUUGUGUUUA